rnacentral:rRNA from 1 species
AACGAACGCUGGCGGCAUGCCUAACACAUGCAAGUCGAACGAGACCUUCGGGUCUAGUGGCGCACGGGUGCGUAACGCGUGGGAACCUGCCUUUAGGUUCGGAAUAACUCAGAGUAAUUUGAGCUAAUACCGGAUGAUGUCUUCGGACCAAAGAUUUAUCGCCUUUAGAUGGGCCCGCGUUGGAUUAGCUAGUUGGUGGGGUAAAGGCCUACCAAGGCGACGAUCCAUAGCUGGUCUGAGAGGAUGAUCAGCCACACUGGGACUGAGACACGGCCCAGACUCCUACGGGAGGCAGCAGUGGGGAAUAUUGGACAAUGGGCGAAAGCCUGAUCCAGCAAUGCCGCGUGAGUGAUGAAGGCCUUAGGGUUGUAAAGCUCUUUUACCCGAGACGAUAAUGACAGUAUCGGGAGAAUAAGCUCCGGCUAACUCCGUGCCAGCAGCCGCCGUAACAC